AGACACUCGUCCUAGUCAGCUCGGGCCACCAUAACAAUACAGCACAGACUGGGUGGCUUAAACAACAGAAUUUUAUUUUCUCCCGGUUCUGGGGGCUAGAAGUCCAAGAUCAAGAUGCCAACAUGAAUGGUCAACAAGACUGGUUCUGUGUGAUUCAUUCCCCAGCUGCUGCUCAGGAAAGGGACGAAGUGCAGUGCCUGGCAUCCAGCAAGUGCUCAAGAGAUAUUGGUGAAUGAGUUACUGAAUGCAUAAAUGAAUGCAACAGCUGGAAGGGCCAAGAGAUAAUCUAACACAGGCAUUACACUGAAUGUGUCAUGCUAUAAAUAUGGAAAACAGGAAGAUACGUUUUGGCAUUUAUUUGUGAUUGAGCAACCACACCAAGGAAGUCUAAUUAGCGGUUCAUUGUCAAGGUAGACCGAGGUCUCUAAAACCGUGCCAAAGGACUCUUCUUUGUUUUUUUCCUAUCCAUUUUUUUAAAAAUCUAUGUUUGGCCCAAGUCAUGACGAGCUUAGAGAUGAAACAAAGCAAAAGAGGAGAGAUAUGUUGAAUGAUUGAAUCUAGAUUCAAUAAAAAUAUUAACAAGAUAUGGUAAAUUUGUUGAAACAAA
rnacentral:lncRNA from 1 species